rnacentral:misc_RNA from 1 species
GAUGAAGAACGUAGCUAAAUGCGAUAAGUAAUGUGAAUUGCAGAAUUCAGUGAAUCAUCGAAUCUUUGAACGCACAUUGCGCCCCUUGGUAUUCCGGGGGGCAUGCCCGUUCGAGCGUCAUUUCACCACUCAAGCCUCGCUUGGUAUUGGGCAACGCGGUCCGCCGCGUGCCUCAAAUCGACCGGCUGGGUCUUCUGUCCCCUAAGCGUUGUGGAAACUAUUCGCUAAAGGGUGUUCGGGAGGCUACGCCGUAAAACAACCCCAUUUCUAAGGUUGACCUCGGAUCAGGUAGGGAUACCCGCUGAACUUAAGCAUAUCAAUAAGCGGAGGA